AACGAACGCUGGCGGCAUGCCUAACACAUGCAAGUCGAACGAGACCUUCGGGUCUAGUGGCGCACGGGUGCGUAACGCGUGGGAACCUGCCCUUAGGUUCGGAAUAACUCCCCGAAAGGGGUGCUAAUACCGGAUAUUGUCUUCGGACCAAAGAUUUAUCGCCUUUGGAUGGGCCCGCGUUGGAUUAGCUAGUUGGUAGGGUAAAAGCCUACCAAGGCGACGAUCCAUAGCUGGUCUGAGAGGAUGAUCAGCCACACUGGGACUGAGACACGGCCCAGACUCCUACGGGAGGCAGCAGUGGGGAAUAUUGGACAAUGGGCGAAAGCCUGAUCCAGCAAUGCCGCGUGAGUGAUGAAGGCCUUAGGGUUGUAAAGCUCUUUUACCCGGGAUGAUAAUGACAGUACCGGGAGAAUAAGCGCCGGCUAACUCCGUG
rnacentral:rRNA from 1 species